CCAUCCGAAGUCUUUUAGAGAUUGAAGCUCAUUAUAAAAAUACAAUAAAGAGAGCCAGAAAAGUUAAAGACUGGCGCCAUGUUUUGACAGAAAGCACUCAAUGUAUUGAAGCUGGAGCUGAUGCAUCAAACAAGCUGUUUGCUUUAAAAGCUGAGGCUCUAUUAAAGCUUCAAAGGACAGAGGAAGCUUUUGAACUAGUAACUACUGCAAGGGGUUCGGAAGACAACAGACACAGAAAAGCUUGCAAGGGAACAACAUACUUGCUGAUAAUUGAAACUCAAAUCAAUUUGUAUCUUGGCAGAUUUGAGCAAGGGGUGCUCACUGCAGAGAAAGCUGUCGAUUUGGACACAACCCGAAAGUCUCUGAAGUGGCUGAGGAAAGCUAGGGGAGCUUCUGAUGCUCAAAAAGCCGGAAAUGCUCUAUUUUAAGAUGGGAAGUACUUGGAGGCAUGCACAAAGUAUGGCCAUGGUCUGCAAUAUGUGCCAACAAAUAGUGUCUUGCUUUGCAAUCGAGCUGCUUGCAAGUCUAAGCUUGAAAAAUGGGAAAAGGCCAUUGAUGAUUGCAAUGCAGCUCUGAGAGAACGGCCUAAUUAUCACAAAGCACUUUUAAGGCACGCUCACUCUUAUGCCAGACUUGGGCGUUGGGAAAAGUCUCUCAGGGACUAUGAUGUAUUGAGCAAGGAGAUGCCAGUAGAUGAAUUUGUAGCCAAUUCUCUUCUUCAAGUACAAAUGGAACUCAAGGCUCAAAGUGGUCAACUGUUCUCAUGACACAUAACUUUUGAGGUUUAGUUUUCAUUUCCAUUUGGCCAUCUAACGGUUCUAGUCCAUUGCCAUCUAGUGAGCUCAAGGCAACAAUAGGGGAUGCUUAACCCCAACCUAGGAAAUGGGUGUUACCACACAAUGCGCUAACCAUCUCAGGCGACACCUACCAACAAAGGCAAUAGACCAUGACAAAUACAACCAUCAAAUGCCAGUUUUGAAUAACAAAAUACCAGAUUUAAGUUUCAUUGGAGAAGGUUAUCCUAUCAAGUUAGAAGAAUCAAGAGGCAGUAUGGUAUAGCUAGAAGACAAAUGAAAGUGGGGUAGAGUUCAAACUUUGUAUCAUAAGCAAAAUGCAAAGAGGUUGUUGUUUCCUACGAAAAGGGCAAGGGGCAUGAAAGCACUUCUCAAAAUGGCCAAGACAGGAAACAAAGGAAGCAGCAACCAUCAAGAGCCGUCAUGGAAAAUUAUAGGUAUUGGUUUGUACCAGCCCAUUGGCAUGGGGUGUAAAUCUUCCAGCUCAUCUAGUCAUUAUUAAG